AAAUAUAGAGAAUUUAAUGGCUACAUUUAAAAAUGUACAUUAGGUCAAAGGGUAAAUUUACAAAUUGAUAAUCAGAAUUUGCAACAAUUAAAAGUUUAUUCUCAUAUUUAUCCAAGUUUACUUUUAUUUACAAUGAUAUCUGAAUAAAAAGAACCAUGUGAAAUGUAAGAGAUGUCAGACAUUAAAAGUAUUUUUGGUAUUAACUCUUUUAUAAUAUUUCAGAAUGCAGGGUAGCAAAUUUUAAAACCAACAGCAAUAGAAAAAAUGUAAACCUUUUACUUACUAAGACUGUAUUAAAAACAAGUGCUUGUUUUUAAAGAAGUAUUCUUAUCCUUAGACACUGCACUUUCACUUGAAUGGGGUAUAUUCCAAGGGUUUGGCCUACUUUCUUUUGCCUGUAAACCUUUCCAGCGCAAAUGUUUCCACUAGUUCUUUCUUAUUCCAGGUGGAAAAAAAGUCUUUGGAAAAAUGAGAAUAUGACAAAUCUAUUUUGAAGCCUAAGUGUCUAACAGAGUUAGAUGUAAUUUUGUUACUUAUCUCUCCCCUCCAAGCAAUGCUAAUGCUAAAUCACCAACAGUU
rnacentral:lncRNA from 1 species